CACAAGGGUACUGAUGUUCGUUGAGACCUCAGCAGCCCACAGGAACCAGUCAACUGGACCUGGAAGGAGCUGACACAUCAGCCACCUGGCAGUGUUCUACAUGAGAAACAGAAAAUCUUAUGGUAGAUGAUGAAAUAUCCUUGGCCUUGCUCAGAAGCUGAGCUGUAUUUUGGAGACAAGGUUUAUGAAGAAAUGCUGGAACUAGCCAGAAAGUCACUCAGUCAACAGGUGGUUGAACCAGAAUUCAAACUCAGAGUGUCUGCGUCCAGGGUGUGAGCACUUAGCCAGGAGGUGUGACCACCCUGCCAGCGAUGCUGUGGUGUGCUGCCCAGAUCUGGCACGUCCAGGGCUGAAACACUCAUUUCACCCGAACCUCAGAGGAACUCCCAUGCCUGCCAAGAAGUGGUCCUCUUGCUUCCUGAACCACUGGUAGUGGAAAUCACUGAGACCAUCUGAAACUCAUGAACCUUCAUGUCCUUUGCUGGGGCCAGACAUGGUCACGUCCACAUGAAAAUUCCUCCACACCUCCAUCAGUGUCUGGGCUCAGAUGCACCUGCUGAUACAAUAGUGGGACAGAAGGACAGUGUUCUCUCCAACAGUCCAAAGACUCACCUCCUGGACGUUUCCCAAGAUGGUUGGUUACUGGGAUGUUUACCCUCUUCAGAGAAAAAUCUCACCUCAGCCACCGGAUUGUGUCUGUUUUUAUGUUCCCCACAAGAUACUCACAGGAGAGUCCUAUGUUGUGCAUUUUUCAGUGUUACAUUCAAUCUCUUCUGCAAUCACCUUGAGCCCAUGCUUUAAAAUGAG